CAGAAAUCCCGUUCCUCGCUCAAGCUCGCUGAAAAAUAAAUAAAUCAGACAGUUCAUAAACCUCUGCUUCGCCACUAGACCCACCAGAUCCCUCACCUUUCUCUUCUCACGCGAGCUUCGACCCCCAACAGCGAAACCCAGCAAAUAACUCUGACUAGCAGCCCAAAACCUUUCUCUGUACUUAUGUUAAGGCUUGCUUUGGCCUUUGGGAUUCUUUUUUAGAGCCGGUCACAGACCUAAUUUGGGUCUUGACAAUUAUAGUUUGAAACUUCAAGACAACUUUUCAACAAAUUUUCACAAGAUUGUGUAUUGUCUGAGUUGGUUCAGGUUACUUAGAGCAUGGUGUGGUGUGUUAAUUGUGCACAGGACAAGCCGACUAAAGAUGUGGAGGGUAAAAUAUGUUGUUCUUUCUGUGGAAAAGUACUUGAAGAAGAUAAUUUUUCUAUUGAGCCCACUUUCGUCAAGAAUGCUUCUGGACAGAGCCAAUUGUCAGGAAGCAGGGUGAGCACUAUCCAAAGUAAUUAUUCAGUUUCACGUGAAAGAACACUAAAAGAAGCAUAUGAGGGUAUAGAGGGUAUGCUUUAUGGGCUAGGAAUUGAUGGUGGUGAUUCAAUAGCUCGUCCAGCUUUGUCCUUCUA
rnacentral:misc_RNA from 1 species